rnacentral:rRNA from 1 species
UACGAAGGGGGCUAGCGUUGCUCGGAAUCACUGGGCGUAAAGGGUGCGUAGGCGGGUCUUUUAAGUCAGGGGUGAAAUCCUGGAGCUCAACUCCAGAACUGCCUUUGAUACUGAGAGCUUGAGUCCGGGAGAGGUGAGUGGAACUGCGAGUGUAGAGGUGAAAAUUCGUAGAUAUUCGCAAGAACACCAGUGGCGAAGGCGGCUCACUGGCCCGGUACUGACGCUGAGGUGCGAAAGCGUGGGGAGCA